GUCGUCAGCUCGUGCGUGAGAUGUUGGGUUAAGUCCCGCAACGAGCGCAACCCUUGUGUUUAGUUGCAAACAGGUCAAGCUGUGCACUCUAGACAGACUGCCGUGGACAACACGGAGGAAGUGGGGAUGACGUCAAAUCAUCAUGCCCCUUAUGAUCUGGGCUACACACGUGCUACAAUGGCCGGUACAACGGGCAGCGAAGGAGCGAUCCGGAGCGAAUCCUAAAAAGCCGGUCCCAGUUCGGAUUGCAGGCUGAAACUCGCCUACAUGAAGUUGGAGUUGCUAGUAAUCGCGAAUCAGAAUGUCGCGGUGAAUGCGUUCCCGGGUCUU
rnacentral:rRNA from 1 species